rnacentral:tRNA from 1 species
GCUCCCAUCGUCUAGAGGCCUAGGACGCGGCCCUCUCAAGGCUGAAACGCGGGUUCGAAUCCCGCUGGGAGCGCCA